rnacentral:rRNA from 1 species
UACGUAGGGUGCAAGCGUUAAUCGGAAUUACUGGGCGUAAAGCGUGCGCAGGCGGUUUUGUAAGUCUGUCGUGAAAUCCCCGGGCUCAACCUGGGAAUUGCGAUGGAGACUGCAAGGCUAGAAUCUGGCAGAGGGGGGUAGAAUUCCACGUGUAGCAGUGAAAUGCGUAGAGAUGUGGAGGAACACCGAUGGCGAAGGCAAUCCCCUGGGCCUGCACUGACGCUCAUGCACGAAAGCGUGGGGGAGCAAACAGG